rnacentral:lncRNA from 1 species
UCUGAAUGAAGACUCCUCUGGGGAGGGAAGAGGCUCGUGGCUCUCAGAUGUGGCAACCACCUCCUUCAUAUGACUUAAGGAACAUUUCUCAGGCCUGUAUUGCAAGAACAACACACAGUGACCUGAACUAGAGACACUUCGAAAACCUUGUCUGUAAUGAAGCCACUGGUGUUACUACCUGCAGUAUACCAAGAAAGGGAAGGAGUUUCUGGAACAGUGCUGUGAUGUGACUUCCACUUGGUGAGUUCUGGCCACACUAGUUGUGUGAUUCACUUCCUCUUCUGUUACU